AGUGAACGCUGGCGGUAGGCCUAACACAUGCAAGUCGAACGGCAGCACAGGAGAGCUUGCUCUCUGGGUGGCGAGUGGCGGACGGGUGAGGAAUACAUCGGAAUCUACUUUUUCGUGGGGGAUAACGUAGGGAAACUUACGCUAAUACCGCAUACGACCUACGGGUGAAAGCAGGGGACCUUCGGGCCUUGCGCGAUUGAAUGAGCCGAUGUCGGAUUAGCUAGUUGGCGGGGUAAAGGGCCACCAAGGCGACGAUCCGUAGCUGGUCUGAGAGGAUGAGCAGCCCAACUGGAACUGAGACACGGUCCAGACUCCUACGGGAGGCAGCAGUGGGGAAUAUUGGACAAUGGGCGCAAGCCUGAUCCAGCCAUACCGCGUGGGUGAAGAAGGCCUUCGGGUUGUAAAGCCCUUUUGUUGGGAAAGAAAUCCAGCUGGCUAAUACCCGGUUGGGAUGACGGUAUCCAAAGAAUAAGCACCGGCUAACUUCGUGCCAGCCGCCGCCGUAA
rnacentral:rRNA from 1 species